AUUGAACGCUGGCGGCAGGCCUAACACAUGCAAGUCGAGCGGAUGAAGGGGGCUUGCUCCUGGAUUCAGCGGCGGACGGGUGAGUAAUGCCUAGGAAUCUGCCUGGGAGUGGGGGAUAACGUCCGGAAACGGGCGCUAAUACCGCAUACGUCCUGAGGGAGAAAGUGGGGGAUCUUCGGACCUCACGCUAUCAGAUGAGCCUAGGUCGGAUUAGCUAGUUGGUGGGGUAAAGGCCUACCAAGGCGACGAUCCGUAACUGGUCUGAGAGGAUGAUCAGUCACACUGGAACUGAGACACGGUCCAGACUCCUACGGGAGGCAGCAGUGGGGAAUAUUGGACAAUGGGCGAAAGCCUGAUCCAGCCAUGCCGCGUGUGUGAAGAAGGUCUUCGGAUUGUAAAGCACUUUAAGUUGGGAGGAAGGGCAGUAAGUUAAUACCUUGCUGUUUUGACGUUACCAACAGAAUAAGCACCGGCUAACUUCGUG
rnacentral:rRNA from 1 species